UCAUUUUUGAGAGAUUUUUCAAUUUCGAAUCUUAUCAAAGGCCCAAUAUUUUUGAUUGAUACGCACAAAACGCCCCAAAUUAAUAUAAAUACAUAUAAUUUGUAUUAUCGCCUUCCUUUCAAUACGUGUUAGGGACAGUAUUUCAUAAACUGCCAACAGCCAGGUAAUAUAAAUUCUUCGAAAUUACCCAAUUUGCCAGUUUUUAUGUGUGAUAUAGACUCUUUAUCGAUGCCUAUACCGACCGCCGCAAAACACAAAUUGCUAUUUAUCGCGCCGUUGAUUAGUGACACUGCGGUGGGUAAUGAGAAUGACUAUGACUUGACUAGAGGUACCAUAUCGGAAUGAUAUCGAUUUUUUUUUUUUUUUUGUUUUUCAACUCUUUUUCUAUUUUUUUUUUUGUAUUUCGAACACGGCACAAUGGAAUGUGUAUGAUAACAACAAAACGAUGUGUGGCUGAGGUGGCCGGCCGGCAACGGCAGCGGCAGAUACAACUCCAGUAUAAGUUAGUUAAAGCAGAUAAAGAAUGUUGAUCGAAUAAAAGAAUGGAAACAACAAUAACAAAAAAAA